rnacentral:rRNA from 1 species
CCUACGGGUGGCAGCAGUGAGGAAUAGUGGUCAAUGGACGCAAGUCUGAACCAGCCAGGCCGCGUGCAGGAAGACGGCGCUAUGAGUUGUAAACUGCUUUUGUACGAGGGUAAACGCAGAUACGUGUAUCUGUCUGAAAGUAUCGUACGAAUAAGGAUCGGCUAACUCCGUGCCAGCAGCCGCGGUAAUACGGAGGAUGCAAGCGUUAUCCGGAUUUAUUGGGUUGAAAGGGUGCGUAGGCGGUCGGAUAAGUUAGAGGGGAAAUCCCGAGGCUCAACUUCGGAAUUGCCUCUGAUACGGUUCGGCUCGAGCGUUGUUGCGGUAGGCGGUAUGUCUGGUGUCGCGGUGACAUGCUU